UCCACCUCCCCGGGCCUGGACACCCACCCCCGCAUCUCCCCGAGUCUGGACCUCCACCCACCUCCCCACGUUUGGACCCCACCACCACCACCUCCCCAGCCCUGGACCGCCCCUCCACCUCCCCGGGCCUGGACCUCCCCUCCCUGAGCCUGGAUCCCCCCACCUUCACCCGGGCUUUGCUCAGGGUCUCUGCCCGGCCCCCCCGCCUCAGCCUAGUUGUGGGGGGCGGGGGUGGGGGGGUGGGGUUGGCGAGGACAGUUGUGGCGUUUCCAGGAGACUGGAGCAUGCGAGCAGCCGGAACCCUCGCAAUUUUGUUUCCAGAAAGGACGUCUUACCUGUGUGCUGGCAACAUUUCUGUAACACAGAAUCAGACCCAUGCAGCUCGGCUCCUUCCCACUGUUCCCAAGCCAGCGGGUUUACCGCCAGAGCCUCAGCAUCCUCUCCGGAGAAAUGGGAAUGAUCACUACAGCCCAACAAGGAGGGAGCCCACCCCGUUUAGUGUUUUAGCCAUAAGGGUGUUUAUCCAUUACACCGAAAGUGCUCACCGGGCACAGAAUCGGCUAGAAACCCGCAAGCCUGCCCCUUCCUGGUCACCACUGGACAAGUGCGCCCACCUUGGGAUUUCCUGGUCUCCUUUGCUGUUUCCUCACUACUUUCCUCAUCCUCUUGGUUUCAUUCAAUCCGGACAGUCUCGCCUUGCUUUCCCUCUCUACGGGCCUCUCUUUAUUUUAAUUUCCGUUGUUACACCUUGACCGAAGUUAUUUCAACACUGUCAGAUUGCAGACGUUUUAAGAUUGCUCAAUAUGCUCAAUAAAAGACACUUCCUGGGCCCUUUGCUGCCAGUGCGAAAGUACCUCCUGAAGGCAGAGUUACCUUGUCCAACUGGUUAUGGAUAUGUUGUUAUCAGCCUGGAAUGUGCACGAGAUGAUAGGAGCUUGAGCGGCUGUCCUGGACCAGGAAGCAAUCUGGAACACCAGAAGCCGACUAGGAGGGUGUAGUGGAAAGGCGACUAAGCCUGGGUCCUUACACACUGCAGAGUGUCUACAGCAGACUUCAUGGUCCGCUAAAGCCACUGUCUUAUUGAAGCCACUUACUUGGACUGUCUGCAUAUGCAACUAAAACCAACCCUAAGUAAUAAUAUACA